AUGGAGCGGAAGCGCAAGGAGGCGGAGAGGGACGUGGAGCGGGCGGGGGCGGAGCCUGUGAGCCCGGCGGGGCGGCUGUUCCGGGAGGCGCACUUCAACUGCUACAUCGUGGCCCUGCUGGGCCUCGGCGCGCCGGUGGACGUGGCGGCGGCCCGCGCCGGGUUGGAGGCCACGCUCGUCCGCCACCCCCGCUUCUGCAGCGUCCAGGUGUCGGACGACGUGAAGAAGAACGCGAAGCCACGGUGGGUGCGGACCACGGUGAACCUGGACGACCACGUCAUCUUCCCGGACCUGGACCCGGCCGCCACGUCGGCCGACCCGGACCGUGCCCUGGAGGACUACGUGUCCUCCCUGUCCACGCGGCCAAUGGACCACUCCCGCCCGCUCUGGGAGUUCCACGUCAUCGACUUCCCGACCUCCGAGGCGGCCGGCGCCGUCGCCAUCCGCAUGCACCACUCGCUCGGCGACGGCGUCUCGCUCAUCUCGCUCCUCACCGCCUGCACCCGCAGCGCCGCCGACCCGGCCAGGCUGCCCGCGCUGCCGUCGCCCCCGCCGCCGCGCCGCUCCGCCCCGCCGCUCUCGGCCGGCGCCCUCGCGCUCGCCGCGUGGGCCUGGUCGCUCGUCGCGCUCGCGUGGAACACGCUGGUGGACGUGGCGCUCUUCGUGGCCACGUCGUGGUUCCUGCGCGACGCGCCCACGCCGUUCCUCGGGUCCCCCGGCGUCGAGUUCCGCCGCAAGCGCUUCCUCAACUGCACCCUCGACCUCGACGACGUCAAGCUCGUCAAGAACGCCAUGAAGUGUACUGUGAACGAUGUGCUUGUCGGAGUGACCUCUGCGGCGCUGUCGCGCUAUUAUUUCCGCAAGAUCGGCGAGACCAGCAGCGACAAGAGAAAGACGCGGAAGAACAUCCGCAUGCGAUCGGCGUUGCUCGUCAACAUCCGGAAAACACCCGGCCUGCAUACAUUGACGCAGAUGAUGGAUCCUAGUAAGGACAAUGCUGUCAAAUGGGGGAACCAGAUCGGUUACAUUGUGCUCCCGUUCCAUAUAGCGAUGCACGACGAUCCUCUCGAGUACAUCCGGCAGGGGAAGAAGACAGCGGACAGGAAGAAGAGAUCUUUGGAAGCGGUCUUCACAUAUUGGAGUGGAAAUCUAGUGGUGAAACUCCUCGGCAUUAAGCCGCGGCUCUCUGCUAUGGCAUGUUCACUAACACCACCAUGUCAUCCGAUCGUCUACAUUGCCACAAGUGUCUACGGGCAUCCACAUGCUUUAACCGUGCAUUUUCAAAGUUACAUGAACAUCAUGAAGCUUGUCCUUGCGGUGGACGAUGAACAAUUCCCGGACUCUCAUCAACUAUUGGAUGACUUUGCUGAGUCCCUCAGGCUUGUUCGUCAGGCAGCUUCAGAAAGAUCGUAG
rnacentral:rRNA from 1 species